UUGUAUCUAGUUGAAGACAUUACCCUUAAAAAUUUAAAAAUUUUCCCUCGUUCCCCGCAAAUGGGGGAAAUAUCCAAAAAAAUUACAAAUUUAAAAAUCGAUAAAUUUUGUCAUUUUUUUCACUUUUUUUUCUUAAAACUUCCAUAACUUUUUGAAAAAUCAACAAAUCUACAUAAUUUUUUUUUAUACUAAAACCUUAGAUAUUUACCUUUCAUUUUAUAUCAUUUUUUUGAAAAUUUAACCCUGAACCUGCUCAUGGGGGGGAUUUAAAAUUGCAACUUUUUUACAAAAACUAACUUUUUCAACUUAAUUUUUGAAAAUGUUCCGGAAAUACUGCGUCCUUUAAACAUAUAUCAAAUUAAAGCUUAUUUUAUGUACUAUAAAAUGAAAAAAAAAAAUUGUCCCAACAUCUUAUCUUCUAUGUGCAAAUGGCUGUCGAAAAUUAAAAAAAAAUGUAAUGUUUGCGAUAAAAAUUACCUUUUAUCGUGAUGUUUUUUGUGCUUAAAACUGCCAUAACUUUUUCAAAAAUGAAUAAAUAAAAAUAAUAUUUUUUUUUAUUGAAACCUUAGAUAUUUGAAAAUCUAACACUUAUUCUGCUCACUGGGGGGAUUUAAAAUAGUUUUAAAAUUAGUAAAAAAAUUUUUUUUUUAAUUAAACACUAUCUACAGAUUUGCAUUGCAGCGUUUUUUAUGAUAGUGAUUUUAAUAACUGUCAGAUAUCGUCUAUACUGGACCCAACUAUGCCACGACCCCACUGUGCCACCACCCCACUGUGCUAAUUUUUUACUUAAAAAUUCCAUAACUUUUUUAAAAAUGAAUAUAUCAAUAUAAUAUUUUUUUAUAUAGAUGCAUGAUAUCAUUACCUUUCAUUUGGUAUAUUUUUUUUUAUAUCUGACCCUUUACUUACCCACAAGAGGGUAUUUAAAAUGACAACUUUUUGACAAAAAAUUAAUUUUUCAACUUGACUUUUAAAAAUGUUCCGGAAAGUCUGACACUUUUAUAUAUAUCUUAAAUUAAAGCUAAUGUAAUGUACUUUAUUAUGCAAAAAAAAAAAUUCGGACUUCAUUUUGUCUUCACGGUGUAAAUGGUUACCGAAUGCUAUUAUUGUGUGAAAAUUCUCGAUUUUAUUUUUUACAUUUUUAACUUUAUAAUAUUUUUUAAUAAUUCCUUUUUCAUUGGACAUACUUUAUCUUAAUUAGGAUAUUAAUAAGGAACUAGCAGAUCAUGUAGCUUUUGGAAUAAUCCACCAUUUUUUUUAAAUUAAACACUAUCUAAAGAUUUGCAUCGAAGCGACGGUGUCAGUUUACGCAAGUAUGUACACGUUAAUUAAUUGUUUUCGAUUCGACGUAUCCUUUAGUCUGAUGGACAUUUGAUUGGCUUAAGUUUGUUGGUAGCAGUACUGUGCGCAGGGUGCUCAACCGGAACUCCAUACCGUGUAUAGUAAUUAAUAAUCAUAAUAGUUAACAGUAAUCGCUACAAUUGUCUUCGAUGAUUUUGCUUUUCCCUUUAAGGUCAAUGUCACGGAACAACAUAUUGAGGCCGACGUAAUACAUUUUUAUAAUUAAUUUCAUUAAGAAUCAUAGUAACGGUUACGGAAUGUGAGACGGUAUUAAUUCGUUCACUUUUUCAAAUAUUUUUUACAACGCGUAUGUAUUUAUACGUUGUAAGUAUCGCGUACACAAGACGUCAGGUUCCGUAGCCGUGUUAUGCUGAAUUGUAACAAUAGAAGUUGUCACCGUGUAGAUUGAAAUUGUUCGCGUGGUGGACAUUGAUGUUGGCGAUGCUAGACUGUUCGGAGGAAAUGUCGGUGAGGGUGCCAGUGGAAACGAUUUGUUUUGUAGGUUGAAGUACCCGUUGGAGCCAUCCGGACCUUGUGUGCCUAUCGCACCGUCUCCGGAGUAGCGGCAAGGGUCCUGGCUUUUCUGCCGCCCGCGGACCUGCUGGCCGUCGAACGCGCCAACGGACACGAGCUCCGGAAAAGCACCGGUCAACCGCUUCGCGCGGAGGUCCGGCUGCAGCUCCGGAACAUCAACGUGUCCAACUGGCGCCGACGAGGAAUCAGCCCGAAGUUAAUCAAGAGCUGAUUCACAACGUAGUGGUGUGAUUUAUAGACGGCGUGGGCCACCCUGAAGUAAUGCCUAACGGCAGUUCCAGGUCGGCCCACAAUCAUGCAGGCGGUAGUAAAAAAAAAAAAGGGUUUACUGUGUACGAUGGGGUUGCAUUUUUUCCGUUAACUUGCUCCCAAUAAUCAUAUCAUACAGAAAAAAACAUAUUAAUUAGAUGAAUGGUAAUCUUUCUUUUUUUUUAUUGUUAGAAAUCUAUCAUUGAAAUUUAUUGUUAUUUUUUAUUAUUAGUUAUAUGGGCUAACCGCUUUAGUAGGAACCGGGUGGCGAACAAAAUUCUUAUGUGCCAACCAAUAGCUCUAGCUCCCAAGGUAAAUAAGUCCAGAUUAAGUCACAGUAUAUUUCAUGUUAUUUACAAAGAAUAUCAUGCGACUUUGCUUAAACAGGUGUAAAAUUAAAUAAAAAGUUGAGAGGUGACGACUUGGGCUACGCAACGGAUUGUGGAGUCGCCACCCUCAUGGCUCCCUUGCAAAAGGAAAUCGGGUCGCCAACCAUUUAGGCGUGGGUCUUGAUCAUAAAAAGAACAACACCCGGACCAUAAGUGGAUUUAAGAAAAAAAAUAAAGAAAUCUAAUAAUAUGCACUUAGAUGAAACAAAAUACAAAAUUGAUUGAUAUAUCCAUCCUUUUCUUUCAAAAGAAAAUAAUGACAGAUCAGUACUUUUAUAACAAAUACUCAUUGAAUUAUAUGUAUUUCAAUACAUAGAGAGGAACAUAGGCGAUAUAUACCUUAUAAUCAAGUACGAGCUCAACCUGCACUGCAUACUUACUAUAUACUCAAUGUAUUAAAAUGAUUAUGUUGUACAGAUACGCGUUAAGCUAACGAGAUGAAAACAUUGGCAAAAUAAUCAUCUUUUCGCAGUGUCGGCCUGGCUCAGAAGGCCCUCAUUAAAUUUAAGAUUUUUUUUCUCACUGGACCACUGAGAAAAUUGUCCAACAAAUUUAAUUAUUAUUAAAAAAAGGAAAGGCUAUUCAGAUAUUUUUUUCAAGGAAAUAUUAAACUGAUUUCAAUAAAUGUAUAUUAGAUUUUAAACAAAAAGAACUUUAAAUAAAUAAUUUUUUACUCCUUAAUAUUUUUAACUUUUUUUUGAGCACCACUGGAGAUUAUAAUGGUUUUACUUAUAAUUUAACAUUGAUUAUAAAACUCAUGUCACAAAAUUAAAUUUUUUUAACGAUGAGUUAAUAUAUUUUUAAUUUUAGAUGACACACAGAAUUUUUAAAUAAGAAAAAAUUAAUUCUACUUAUAUAUAACCAAAACUUACUAAUUCUUAGCAUAACUCAUAUUAGACUUGUAGCAAAACUUACACAGUUUAAUACUAUUUUAAUUUUUUUUAAUAUAAGUUAAAAAUAAUUUUAGUAAUUAAUUUUCAAUUAAAAUUGCUGAAAUAAAAAUUAAUCAUACUCUUCUGAGUCUAUAAAAACCUAUUGGAAGAAACUUCCAGAAAGUAAUAAGACUAAAAAAAAUGUGUUCAACAAUUACUGCAUUGAAGUUGGAUAUACUGUGUUAUUUUAUACUUAGAUAUCCUAAUGCAGCACAGGAAAAAAUCCAGACAUCCCCAAGAAUGAUUUUAUAUUGUACAAACAAUUUUAUGUGUUAUAUUAGUUAUUAUUUUUUAAUAUUACACACUUAGGAAUUAAUCACUAAUAAAAUUGCACAAGACAAUUUUUACAGCACAUAUUUGUUAUAGAAAAAUUAGUUUUCAAAUGGAUCUUAUAGAUGUUAAAAAAUAAGUUACUGUUAGAUAAAAUUUUGUGGAUCGACUGA